rnacentral:rRNA from 1 species
GAUGAACGCUAGCGGCAGGCCUAACACAUGCAAGUCGAGGGGUAGAACACUUCGGUGUUUGAGACCGGCGCACGGGUGCGUAACGCGUAUGCAAUCUACCUUGUACAGGGGAACAGCCCAGAGAAAUUUGGAUUAAUGCCCCAUAGUAUAUAACCUUCGCAUGCUGGUUAUAUUACAGUUCCAACGGUACAAGAUGAGCAUGCGUCCCAUUAGUUAGUUGGUAAGGUAACGGCUUACCAAGACGAUGAUGGGUAGGGGUCCUGAGAGGGAGAUCCCCCACAGUGGUACUGAGACACGGCACAGACUCCUACGGGAGGGAGCAGUGAGGAAUAUUGGUCAAUGGGCGCAAGCCUGAACCAGCCAUGCCGCGUGCAGGAAGACGGUCCUAUGGAUUGUAAACUGCUUUUAUACAGGAAGAAACCCUCCCACGUGUGGGAGAUUGACGGUACUGUAGGAAUAAGGAUCGGCUAACUCCGUGCCAGCCGCCGCCGUAAAAC